rnacentral:lncRNA from 10 species
UAGGAAUACAAUGGUUGUAUUACAUGUUACUGAUUUAGGGAUGGUGAUAUGUCUCCCCCUGCCACCACUUGGAGAAUAAGAUAAAAAGGCAGCUUUAUGAAGGUUUCUUGGAAGGGAAGUCAAUCACUCUUCUGGAGGGUGAAAGAAUCCAACUCUAGAUGUCAACAAGAAAGCAUCUCAUCAUAAUUCCAACUGGCAGACGUUCUCAGAAAAUGAAGACUGAAUUUAGAAUGCAGCCAGCAUAAAGGAUGAUUGAACUAACAAUGGAAAGAACUGAAGAACUUUAUUACAUUGUUGAGCUCUGGGUCAAUAAACCAUAAAGCCUGAUCUCCCUGAAAUUUCAUUUACAUUAUAUUAUGUGUCCUAUUGUUUAAGACAAUUUGCAUUUUUUCCAUUACUUGCAACUAAAAUCAUCCUAACUGACACAUAUAUUCCAGAGAAAAGAGAGUUUGUACAAAGGCACAGUGUUGAGAAUAAGCUUGUCAUAUUUAGGGAACAGCAAGGAUGCUACCAUCGAGUUGUAAAAAAGUAAAGCAGGAGUUAAAUGGUUCUGGGCACUAAAAAGAAAGGCUAUGAUUGCAAAUAUAAAUGGCUUAAGGAGGUGGAAGCCCAGUUUAAUGGAAUUAAGG